rnacentral:lncRNA from 1 species
GCAAAAGACUCCAAUUCUGAACUUUCAAACCAACUGCAAUCUCUUAAAAAGUUGUUGCACAUCUUUGAUAGAAGGGUGAAAAGGAACAAUUUUAGAGGAAAUGAGAGUUCAAAUUGAUUAAAGGAGAAGGGGAGAGAUCGAUGAUUAGUUGGAAGAAAGGAUCGACUAGUGUCAAAUGUUCCAUACAGAUAAAAUUUCUGGCGUUUUAAGGGACUGAAA